GUAUAGUUAUAUCUGUUGUGUGAGAGUAGCAUGCAAAACAUGAUACAACGGUUUCUUACCUUUUGUUGUGUGAUAAAGUGGGAAAUAUUUGAAUGUGCCUUUAUUUGGCCCAAAAUGGCACUGAAGCCCCCCAAAAACCUCCAAGUUUUGAUUGAAAUAUAGCACCAGAUUGAUGAUCCCACAACCAAAUGAGUUGUUUCCGUUGUGUGAAUGAGCAUUGCCUAGCAUGUUACUUUGGUUGCAUAUUAUAGCGGGAACUUUUCCCUCUUUGGAACCUUAGCAGAGGUUUAAUUUGUUCACAAUCAGACAACAAAACUUCGUCUUUAUGUUGUCUGAUUCAUAAAGCAAAAAUUAAAAGCCCGCCUUAGACAACUUAGUUAGCUAGCUAGGUUUAUUGGAUUUACUCUCUCCCCGUCAACACUUUGUCAAAACAGCCGCUUCCUCUCGUCGAGCAGCUCUCUUCUCAACUUCAUCAAAAACCAUCACUCUCUCAUCAAAACACCAUGGAUCUCUCAUGAAAACACCAUAGCUAUUUGUCUCCUCUCACUCCCACUUAGACAAAAUAAGGGUUUUUCUUCGAAUCGUUUCCACCAAAGACUUCUCCGUCACUUUCUUCACACUUCACAGUCCCUUCCCAAAAACCUCGACUUCCCUUAAACAUCGCGCUUUGGCUCUCUCUCUCUCUCUCAAGCUCUCAGCAUCCCCAAAAACUUCAUAAUGAAGGGCAAAAUAACACACACACACACGCACUCUCUGUCUCUCUCUGUGUUCCUCUCGUCCUGCAUAUCGAAGGAGCUCAAAUCCAAAGUCUGAGCAAAGCAAAUUUGCUCAAUCCUAAUGAAUAGGUAUUCUUUCCUUUUCAAUUUCAAUUUCUAGGUAAUGGGUAAAACCGAAUUAGGGUUUCUUUCUGAGUUUUAUUUUGGGGUUUCUUGAGAUCUCACGAUGAACACGAGAGGUGAGCCCAGCACCUGCAGUCGUAGAUUUAUUGCUACUAAUCGAGCAAUCAAAAGGUGGAGGAGAUCCAGCCUGGCACGAGCGGCCAAACCCUGACCGUCAAGGUCGUCACCACCAAUCCGGUCGAGAGGUCACCUCCAAGAAUGGCGGCGCUCGAUCCUCUCUCUCCUCUCUCCCUCUUCAGCCCCCUCGCAUUACUGAGUGCCUCGUUAGCGAUGAGACUGAAACCAUUGUCUUCACUGCUCGCAAUGACCAAGGUACGUAUAUGGACUCUUAGUCUUUGCUGAGUGCUUAAGGCUUUUAGGUUUCAACAGUUUAGAAUGAGAAUUGCACUUCUGGGUUUGUAUUGGUUCAUGAGAAAUUUACAGUAGUGAGUGCUUCCACUUUUCCACUAAUAUGGCUCCGAUACAUAGCCCACAAGCUCGAAUACUCUGCCACUAUCAGCUGGAAGAACUAUAAAAGAGGUCAAAUCACAGACAGAGAACUUGGUGAUGCUGUUUGGAAAAAUUUAUUUCAGGGAAAGUUGACAUACAUGCAUUGGAAUAAAGGAGCAGAGAUGGCCCCUAGUAUAGGGGACCAAGGGGGAACUCUCCUUGUCAGGAAGUUACCAGCUGCAGACCCAAGGAGGCUUUAUCUCUAUGCAAUCCAAAGGUUAUUGAGUGCUUGAUAAUCAAAAUGGUCAAGUCGGAGGUCCUUCAACGUCUAGUAAUGCAUCAGAGUGUGAUGCAGAAAUGGAAAGCGAACUUGCUGAAGAAAAUGCAUUAGAGUGUGAUGCAGAAAUGGAAAGCGAAUUUGCUGCAGAACUAGCACAAGGAGAUGCUUUCACUGACUAUGACAUUGAAGUUACUAGAGAAGGGGUUGGGGAAUAAAUUCUUGUCAAAUAUUCGCGAGGUGGACUCCAUACUUCAGGGAAAAAUCAAUAAUUUCCCAACACUUAAAAGGGGUAUAACAGAUGCUCAGCGAUCAAAGUUCGAUUAUUGCACACCAUGUGUUUGACACCCAAGCUGAACUGCUGAACCAGUAGGGCAUUUCAUGAUUUUUGAAAAAUCUAUACUUCUUGUUUUACUCUCAGUUUUUGAUAUCUUAAAGGGGACUCUUCAAUGAUCAUUUUGAACUUGGUUUCGUGAAAAACGGAGUUAAAAUGCGAUACUUAUUCUAUUUUGAAGUUAUUGCACUGUUUCAGGAUUUCUGCAGAAUUCAGCAAUUCUGUCACUUUAGAUUCUUGUUUGACCAUCCAUUUGAACUGGGAAUAGCAUGAAACUUUGCGAAAUAGUAGCUUUGCAUAUCUACUUGAAAUCUGGAAAGUUGUGCUUGAAAUCACUAAAAUAAUAGUUGUUGGUGAAUUUUUCUUUCUUGUUACUAGUUUUCAGAAACUGUCUCAAGCUUGCAGCUUAUUGUUACUCUUAGAAUUCUUAUGAGUGUGUUUGUGGAAUAAAUUUAAAUCUGUUACUAUUUCAAACAUAUAUAGGCAACAGCUAUAAAUCUUGUGGGGUGAAGAUGCAUUCAAAGAUGGGCAUACAAUCAGCUUCUACAUGGAGCCUGAAGUGUUUGGAUAUUCUCGCAAGACAUUUAUAUUGGGAAAAGAUGUUAGGCGACUUGCAAGCAUAAGGGAAGUAACUGGAACUUGUGCUUCUCUGCUGGUACAUUGUCAUGCACCAUGUGUGGCAUGUUUUGGAACAA